ACAUCUCUUGGAGUUCUAGCUCACCUUUCUGGUGUUGUUCUUGUACUCAUCUGUUUAAUCUAGUUUUGCCACUUCUUCUUGAAUUUCUUGUUAGAUUUCAAGUCUGUAUUUUGUGUCCGUGACACUGGGAAGUCAUGACGAGCUUGAAGAAUACGUAAACGUGCUCCUCCUUCUGGAACAUAUAGACGUCCUUCGAAAUAGAGUAGGUUUUUCUUGAAUUCAAAUUUAGAGGGAUCAUCAGAUUUAGAAGAAUUAUUCUUGAUAUUAUGAACAAGAGGGGCUGAAGACAUACUUAACUUGAUUUACUUGAGAAAAGUUAAAUCAACAAUCAAUGUUGAUUUUAUUGCUCAAAGAUGAAAUUGCUCCAGCUUCAAGAGAACCAUUCUUUGUUGCUCAAAAGAUGCAUUUCCUUCUUUUGGUGCAAGAUAAGAAAGUGUAGAGUAGGCAUCGGACAAACCUUGUUAUUUUUCUAGCCGAUAAAUGAUGAUGAAUUCAAAUCUUAAUAAAAACAUG
rnacentral:lncRNA from 1 species